GUAGGUGGCAAGCGUUGUCCGGAAUUAUUGGGCGUAAGGCGCGCGCAGGCGGUCCUUUAAGUCUGAUGUGAAAGCCCACGGCUCAACCGUGGAGGGUCAUUGGAAACUGGGGGACUUGAGUACAGAAGAGGAAAGCGGAAUUCCAAGUGUAGCGGUGAAAUGCGUAGAGAUUUGGAGGAACACCAGUGGCGAAGGCGGCUUUCUGGUCUGUAACUGACGCUGAGGCGCGAAAGCGUGGGGAGCAAACAGGGAUUAGAUACCCUGGUAGUCCACGCCGUAAACGAUGAGUGCUAAGUGUUAGGGGGUUUCCCGCCCCUUAGUGCUGCAGCUAACGCAUUAAGCACUCCGCCUGGGGAUACGGCCGCAAGGCUG
rnacentral:rRNA from 1 species